rnacentral:lncRNA from 1 species
UGACUACUAAAGGGCAUGAUGGAUGCAGUGGAAUAUUAUUCAACCUUGAAAAGGAAGGAAAUCCUGUCACUUUCUACACCGUGGAUGGACCUUGAGGACAUUAUGCUGAGUGGAAUAAGCCAGACACAAGAGGACAAACACUGUGUGGCCUCAUUUAUACGCAGUAUCUAGAGCAGUCAGAUUCAUAGAGACAGGAAGUAGACCAGAGGUUGCCAGGGGCUGAGGGAGGGGGAGUGGUGGGUUGUUAAAUGGUCCAUAGUUUCAGUUUUGCGCGGUGUAAAAGUCUGGGUGAUCCAUCGAGUAACAAUAUGAGUAUACUUCACACUACGGAACUGUACACUUAAAAACGGUCAAGAUGCUGAGGUUUGCAUCCUGCCAGCAGCAGCCGGGCCAUCUGUGCCCUCCGGAGUAGCACCGGCCAGCAGUCUGAGCAUCAGGCACGUGGUGCUCCCUCAGAGGUCAAUGGAGGGCCCUCCUCUCAGAAGUCUGAGCACCAGUUGUGGGUGCUCCCUGCAGAGUUCCUAGCAUUGGCCUUCAGUCCGAGGACGAGCCUUAGGGGGUCUCCCCUCCCACACCCCUGAGUUCCGGUAGCACCACCUCUUCCCUUUGGUUCCCCGAGUCCUGGGCAGGGUAGCUGCUCCCUGCAGUUGUUAAUCUCUGGGUCAUCUCAGCAUCUUUUUGCUUUUCAUCUUCUCAACACCUCCGUCAUCAAUUCCCUCUGUUAAAUCCUCUCUGUUUGAAAUAACUAUGAUUUCUCUCUUCCUGGCCGCACUCUGACUGAUGUACUCUCCAUCCUGGAAGUUCCACUCCCAAGAAUUUAUUUUAAGACAUGUCCAAAAAUUUGUGAUGUUAUUUAUUAAUAGCAAAAAACCCCAAAACAAAACAAGAAAAGUAAACAGGCUCCAAGCCGCACCAGGUGAGUGUGGUGGGUUGAUUUGUGUCCUCCAAAAAGACACGUUAAAGUUCUAACUCCUCGAACUGCAGAAUUGGAACUUACUUGGCACUGAAGUCACUGUAGAUGCUAAGUUAAGAUGAGGUCCUUUUGGAGCAGUGUAGACCUUUAAUCCAAUGUCACUGGUGUCCUUACAGAAAAAGAAGCGACAGAGACCCACAGGGAAGACAGCCCUGUGACCACAGGGGCAGAGACUGGAGCUGUGUCACCCGCCACAAGCCCAGGAAUGCCGAGGCUUGCCCGCCACCACCAGCAUCUAGGAGACAGGCGUGCGAGGGACAGCUUCUCCCUGUGAAUCCCCAAGGGAGAAUCAGCCCUCGAUUUCAGACUUCCGGCCUCCAGAACCGUGAACAAAUACGUGUCUUCUGUGUCCAGCGCCCCUGUGGGUGGCGCUUUGGUCUGGCAGCCCUAAGAAACUAACACAGUGGGGCUGGUUAGAUAAAUUAUGGUCAAGUCACGUAAUGGACCAUAUUGCCACGAUUAAAAUGCGCUUCAUAUUGUGGAAGAAUUUGUAAUGAUAGGAAAAGUGGUUCCCAAUGUAUUAAGUUAAAAAA